GGCGCCGCCGCGCCCGCGCCGCCCGCCCCGGCGGCCGGGCGCGGCGCGCGGCCGGGCCCCGCCCCGCAGCCCGGGCGCACAGCGCGGGACGCCUCGGAACGCCUCGGAAUGUCAGGCCGGCGCACGCCGGCCUCGAAGAAAGGGGACGCUGCAGGAGAGCCUUGCGUCCUAUUAGCUAGUUGGUGGGGUAACGGCCCACCAAGGCGAUGAUAGGUAGCCGGCCUGAGAGGGUGAACGGCCACAAGGGGACUGAGAUACGGCCCUUACUCCUACGGGAGGCAGCAGUGGGGAAUAUUGGACAAUGGGGGCAACCCUGAUCCCAGCAAUUCUGUGUGCACGAAGAAAGUUUUCGGAUUGUAAAGUGCUUUCAGCAGGGAAGAAGAAAGUGACGGUACCUGCAGAAGAAGCGACGGCUAAAUACGUGCCAGCAGCCGCGGUAAUACGUAUGUCGCAAGCGUUAUCCGGAAUUAUUGGGCAUAAAGGGCAUCUAGGCGGCCCUGUAAGUCUAGGGUGAAAACCUGCGGCUCAACCGCAGGCCUGCCCCGGAAACUACAGGGCUAGAGUAUCGGAGAGGUGGACGGAACUGCACGAGUAGAGGUGAAAUUCGUAGAUAUGUGCAGGAAUGCCGAUGAUGAAGAUAGUUCACUGGACGGUAACUGACGCUGAAGUGCGAAAGCUAGGGGAGCAAACAGGAUUAGAUACCCUGGUAGUCCUAGCUGUAAACGAUGAUUACUGGGUGUGGGCAUGAAGAGUGUCCGUGCCGAAGCAAAUGCGAUAAGUAAUCCGCCUGGGGAGUACGGCCGCAAGGCUGAAACUCAAAGGAAUUGACGGGGACCCGCACAAGCGGUGGAGCAUGUGGUUUAAUUCGACGCAACGCGAGGAACCUUACCAGAUCUUGACAUCCUGCGAAUGCCCGUGAGAGCGGGCAGUGCCUUCGGGAACGCAGAGACAGGUGGUGCAUGGCUGUCGACAGCUCGUGUCGUGAGAUGUUGGGUUAAGUCCCGCAACGAGCGCAACCCCUAUCGUUAGUUGCCAUCAUUAAGUUGGGGACUCUAGCGAGACUGCCUGCGAAGAGCAGGAGGAAGGUGGGGAUGACGUCAAGUCAUCAUGCCCCUUAUGAUCUGGGCUACACACGUGCUACAAUGGCCGGUACAGAGAGCAGCCAGGCGGCAACGCCGAGCGAAUCUUUAAAGCCGGUCCAAGUUCGGAUUGAAGCCUGCAACUCGGCUUCAUGAAGCUGGAAUCGCUAGUAAUCGCAGAAUCAGCAAUGCUGCGGUGAAUACGUUCUCGGGUUCUUGUACACACCGCCCGUCA
rnacentral:rRNA from 1 species